rnacentral:lncRNA from 1 species
GCAGGACAGAGCGGGAUCUAUCUUCAAAAUGGUCGCUGCCUUCGAAGACUUUUCCCUCAAGUACGGCCAUUACCACCUCAAUGAAUCAAUGCCUCAAUUAACCAUUGUGCAGAGCAAGCUCAUUCUGCAUAUUCAGCGAUUUUUCCACCGAGAUGCUAGAGAUUUCAUUCUCAACGGAACGGAAAAACAUAACUUCGUCAACAUCUCGUCUAGGAAUUUCCUCAACAACGAUUCGUUGCUGGUUGGUGUCCUGUAAAAGGAUCUUCAUGAGCUACUUCAAUCGAUUCCAUCCAAUAAUGAUGCUCCUGAAAACAAGAGACUUGACACCAUGAUAAUGGCAGCCACGAUGGAUCCAAAACCGGAAAAGCUGCAGCAGAAUAUCACCCUAAAGUUCAGGAAUCUAAAGGUUGCUGAAGGCAAGAGAUAUUGCAUGUUUUGGAGUGACAACAGCG